CAAAAUAAAACAUUUUAGAUGUACCCCGCUUACAACGGGGCUAAGCCAAACCGUGGCUAUUUUGA
rnacentral:tRNA from 1 species